AAAAAGAAAAGAGGAGGGUGCAAAAUCAAAAGCAAAAUCAAAAGAAAGAAAAAGAAAGAAAGAAAGAAACAAAAGAAAAUAGCACCCUCAAAGUCCCAAGUUGGCUGAUGCUGAAUUCGAUCGAAAAGAAGAGAUCAACUGCCAUGUGUCAUGGUCAAGUUAUAUCAGCAGAGAGUGAAGAAAGCACGCGUUAAGAAGGUCAAAC
rnacentral:lncRNA from 1 species